GGAGGUGUUUUAUCCCCAGUUUAUAGAUGAGGAAACUAAGAAUCAUGUGAGACCCUUCUCCAGAGUUCUUAUUACAGGGCAGAGCGGUAAGACCAACCUC